CAGCAGCCACGGUAAUACGUAGGGUGCGAGCGUUAAUCGGAAUUACUGGGCGUAAAGCGUGCGCAGGCGGUUCGUUAAGACAGAUGUGAAAUCCCCGGGCUUAACCUGGGAACUGCAUUUGUGACUGGCGAGCUAGAGUAUGGCAGAGGGGGGUAGAAUUCCACGUGUAGCAGUGAAAUGCGUAGAGAUGUGGAGGAAUACCGAUGGCGAAGGCAGCCCCCUGGGCCAAUACUGACGCUCAUGCACGAAAGCGUGGGGAGCAAACAGGAUUAGAUACCCCUGUAGUCCCUGUCUCUUAUAC
rnacentral:rRNA from 1 species